rnacentral:lncRNA from 1 species
AUGAUUGACACCUCAGAAAGUCACCCAACUGAAUUGUGUCAGUUUCUGACCUCCCUCCCUUACAUUUUCUUCGCAGUAAGUCCCGAAAUAACCUUUUUCUCUUUAGAUUCAGAAGAAAAAUGGCUUCCCUGCAGUGCGGAAGCAAAACAUCUCAACAAUGGAGCUCCAGGAGGGGACUCUUUUGCGGCAAGAUCAUUUGCAGACAUCCAGGAUUUGUCCAGUAUCUCUGGCGAGAACAUGCACAGCCCAAAGGUUUAUAAAACUCCCAAGAGCACCCACUCACCAACUGAUGCCAGUACUCCGAUCAGCCCAGCCACGGCGCCGCCAAGGUUUUUCUCCACUGUCGUCAAAAGCAAGGAUCGCUGCGUGAUGAAGAUAGACACAACAUGUUGGCCUACCCAGGAAGGAUCAUUCUCAGGACUUAGUACCUUCACCACCGCCACUGAGAAAGGGAAGAGUGUGGAGCUGCCUUCUGCUGAUUUCCCAGAACUUGAUGACUCCUUGGUAGCCGACAUUCAGUCACUAGUUUGUAGGGGUCAGAAAAAAACAGAGAAUAAGCUUCCUUCCAUUCCACAGAGAGGAGUUCCUGAGCAAGGCGAUUCAAAAGAGCAAGAGCCAGAAGAAAUAACCCUGAACAAAUGCAAAGCUGAUUGCAGCCUCUGCAUCGACGAGACUUCAUGCCUCGAAGAAGAGACGGAAAGGGCUCAUUCAAGCCUAGACAACAUUUUGGAGUUAGUCCUCGGGCCGACUGCCGACAGCCGCAGCUCUCGCGAAAAGCCUCCGGACCCUGUCAAGAGGAGGCCAAGCCACACAGACCUCAGAAAUAUCGAGAUGAAGGGAGGCGUGGAAGAUAGCUUCAGUGAAUCUGAGGGUUCCACCGAGAAUGCCGAAGGUGUUUCUUGA